UACGUAGGUGGCAAGCGUUGUCCGGAUUUACUGGGUGUAAAGGGCGUGCAGCCGGGAAGACAAGUCAGAUGUGAAAUCCCGCGGCUCAACCGCGGAACUGCAUUUGAAACUGUUUUUCUUGAGUACCGGAGAGGUCAUCGGAAUUCCUUGUGUAGCGGUGAAAUGCGUAGAUAUAAGGAAGAACACCAGUGGCGAAGGCGGAUGACUGGACGGCAACUGACGGUGAGGCGCGAAAGCGUGGGGAGCAAAUAGG
rnacentral:rRNA from 1 species